GCUUCGUGGUCCAGUGGGAAGGACACUUGCCUCUCAUCCUGGAGUCCUAGGUUCGAUCCACGAACGAGGAGCGCGCA
rnacentral:tRNA from 1 species